ACUCCUACGGGAGGCAGCAGUGGGGAAUUUUGGACAAUGGGCGCAAGCCUGAUCCAGCAAUGCCGCGUGAGUGAUGAAGGUCUUCGGAUUGUAAAGCUCUGUCUUUGGGGACGAUAAUGACGGUACCCAAGGAGGAAGCCACGGCUAACUACGUGCCAGCAGCCGCGGUAAUACGUAGGUGGCAAGCGUUGUCCGGAUUUACUGGGCGUAAAGGGUGCGUAGGUGGAUAUUUAAGUCAGAUGUGAAACCCCUGGGCUCAACCCAGGACCUGCAUUUGAAACUGGAUGUCUAGAGUGCGGGAGAGGUAAGUGGAAUCCCUAGUGUAGCGGUGAAAUGCGUAGAGAUUAGGAAGAACACCAGUGGCGAAGGCGACUUACUGGACCGUAACUGACACUGAGGCACGAAAGCGUGGGUAGCAAACAGGAUUAGAUACCCUGGUAGUCCACGCCGUAAACGAUGAGUACUAGGUGUAGGGGGUAUCGACUCCCCCUGUGCCGCAGUUAACACAAUAAGUACUCCGCCUGGGAAGUACGAUCGCAAGAUUAAAACUCAAAUGAAUUGACGG
rnacentral:rRNA from 1 species